AGCGUACACGGUGGAUGCCCUGGCAGUCAGAGGCGAUGAAGGACGUGCUAAUCUGCGAUAAGCGUCGGUAAGGUGAUAUGAACCGUUAUAACCGGCGAUUUCCGAAUGGGGAAACCCAGUGUGAUUCGUCACACUAUCAUUAACUGAAUCCAUAGGUUAAUGAGGCGAACCGGGGGAACUGAAACAUCUAAGUACCCCGAGGAAAAGAAAUCAACCGAGAUUCCCCCAGUAGCGGCGAGCGAACGGGGAGCAGCCCAGAGCCUGAAUCAGUGUGUGUGUUAGUGGAAGCGUCUGGAAAGGCGCGCGAUACAGGGUGACAGCCCCGUACACAAAAAUGCACAUACUGUGAGCUCGAUGAGUAGGGCGGGACACGUGGUAUCCUGUCUGAAUAUGGGGGGACCAUCCUCCAAGGCUAAAUACUCCUGACUGACCGAUAGUGAACCAGUACCGUGAGGGAAAGGCGAAAAGAACCCCGGCGAGGGGAGUGAAAAAGAACCUGAAACCGUGUACGUACAAGCAGUGGGAGCACAGAGCAAUCUGUGUGACUGCGUACCUUUUGUAUAAUGGGUCAGCGACUUAUAUUCUGUAGCAAGGUUAACCGAAUAGGGGAGCCGAAGGGAAACCGAGUCUUAACUGGGCGUUAAGUUGCAGGGUAUAGACCCGAAACCCGGUGAUCUAGCCAUGGGCAGGUUGAAGGUUGGGUAACACUAACUGGAGGACCGAACCGACUAAUGUUGAAAAAUUAGCGGAUGACUUGUGGCUGGGGGUGAAAGGCCAAUCAAACCGGGAGAUAGCUGGUUCUCCCCGAAAGCUAUUUAGGUAGCGCCUCGUGAAUUCAUCUCCGGGGGUAGAGCACUGUUUCGGCAAGGGGGUCAUCCCGACUUACCAACCCGAUGCAAACUGCGAAUACCGGAGAAUGUUAUCACGGGAGACACACGGCGGGUGCUAACGUCCGUCGUGAAGAGGGAAACAACCCAGACCGCCAGCUAAGGUCCCAAAGUCAUGGUUAAGUGGGAAACGAUGUGGGAAGGCCCAGACAGCCAGGAUGUUGGCUUAGAAGCAGCCAUCAUUUAAAGAAAGCGUAAUAGCUCACUGGUCGAGUCGGCCUGCGCGGAAGAUGUAACGGGGCUAAACCAUGCACCGAAGCUGCGGCAGCGACGCUUAUGCGUUGUUGGGUAGGGGAGCGUUCUGUAAGCCUGCGAAGGUGUGCUGUGAGGCAUGCUGGAGGUAUCAGAAGUGCGAAUGCUGACAUAAGUAACGAUAAAGCGGGUGAAAAGCCCGCUCGCCGGAAGACCAAGGGUUCCUGUCCAACGUUAAUCGGGGCAGGGUGAGUCGACCCCUAAGGCGAGGCCGAAAGGCGUAGUCGAUGGGAAACAGGUUAAUAUUCCUGUACUUGGUGUUACUGCGAAGGGGGGACGGAGAAGGCUAUGUUGGCCGGGCGACGGUUGUCCCGGUUUAAGCGUGUAGGCUGGUUUUCCAGGCAAAUCCGGAAAAUCAAGGCUGAGGCGUGAUGACGAGGCACUACGGUGCUGAAGCAACAAAUGCCCUGCUUCCAGGAAAAGCCUCUAAGCAUCAGGUAACAUCAAAUCGUACCCCAAACCGACACAGGUGGUCAGGUAGAGAAUACCAAGGCGCUUGAGAGAACUCGGGUGAAGGAACUAGGCAAAAUGGUGCCGUAACUUCGGGAGAAGGCACGCUGAUAUGUAGGUGAAGUCCCUCGCGGAUGGAGCUGAAAUCAGUCGAAGAUACCAGCUGGCUGCAACUGUUUAUUAAAAACACAGCACUGUGCAAACACGAAAGUGGACGUAUACGGUGUGACGCCUGCCCGGUGCCGGAAGGUUAAUUGAUGGGGUUAGCGCAAGCGAAGCUCUUGAUCGAAGCCCCGGUAAACGGCGGCCGUAACUAUAACGGUCCUAAGGUAGCGAAAUUCCUUGUCGGGUAAGUUCCGACCUGCACGAAUGGCGUAAUGAUGGCCAGGCUGUCUCCACCCGAGACUCAGUGAAAUUGAACUCGCUGUGAAGAUGCAGUGUACCCGCGGCAAGACGGAAAGACCCCGUGAACCUUUACUAUAGCUUGACACUGAACAUUGAGCCUUGAUGUGUAGGAUAGGUGGGAGGCUUUGAAGUGUGGACGCCAGUCUGCAUGGAGCCGACCUUGAAAUACCACCCUUUAAUGUUUGAUGUUCUAACGUUGACCCGUAAUCCGGGUUGCGGACAGUGUCUGGUGGGUAGUUUGACUGGGGCGGUCUCCUCCUAAAGAGUAACGGAGGAGCACGAAGGUUGGCUAAUCCUGGUCGGACAUCAGGAGGUUAGUGCAAUGGCAUAAGCCAGCUUGACUGCGAGCGUGACGGCGCGAGCAGGUGCGAAAGCAGGUCAUAGUGAUCCGGUGGUUCUGAAUGGAAGGGCCAUCGCUCAACGGAUAAAAGGUACUCCGGGGAUAACAGGCUGAUACCGCCCAAGAGUUCAUAUCGACGGCGGUGUUUGGCACCUCGAUGUCGGCUCAUCACAUCCUGGGGCUGAAGUAGGUCCCAAGGGUAUGGCUGUUCGCCAUUUAAAGUGGUACGCGAGCUGGGUUUAGAACGUCGUGAGACAGUUCGGUCCCUAUCUGCCGUGGGCGCUGGAGAACUGAGGGGGGCUGCUCCUAGUACGAGAGGACCGGAGUGGACGCAUCACUGGUGUUCGGGUUGUCAUGCCAAUGGCACUGCCCGGUAGCUAAAUGCGGAAGAGAUAAGUGCUGAAAGCAUCUAAGCACGAAACUUGCCCCGAGAUGAGUUCUCCCUGACUCCUUGA
rnacentral:rRNA from 1 species